rnacentral:snoRNA from 14 species
GGUCUGAUGCCACGUCUUUGAUAGCUACAUAUAUUUGAGCUCUGAUCAAAGAUGCUAUGAUUGGACCAAAAUCAAGAGUGUUAAUCAUUUGUUUCGCAUUCUGAUAGGAAUCUGCUGAUCUUAUAUAUAAUGAUCCUGCAGAGCCGAUUUGUGCGAUUACAUUU